GGGAAGACUUGGGGUAAAGAGAAUGAAUUUUGUUUUAGACACAUUGAGUUUAAGAGGUCUGCCAGAGUCCAGUUCAAGAAGUCUGAAAGGCAGCUAGAGAUGGGACAUUGGAGAUCAGUAGAGAGGUUGGGGCAGGAUAGGUAGACUGGAGAAUCAUCAACAUAGAAAUGAUGCUUCAAUUCAUGGGAUGAGAUCCCCAUAAAUAAUGUUUUGUAGAGGAAGAAGAGAAGAGGGCCUUGUGGUAAGAAAGUAUGAUUUGGAUGAGGAUCCAGUAAUGGAGAUUGAGAGAUGGAACAUUCAUAUGGUCAGAAACAUAAGAGGAGGACCAGAAGAGAGAAGUUUCCAGAAAACCCAGAGAGCAAAGUAUCAAGGAAAAAGUGGUCAACAGUGUCAAAGGUCAAGGGAAAUGAGGAUUGAGAAAAGCCAUUGUAUCUGACAACUAAGUGACUUAAAUGAGUCAUUGGUAACUUUGGAGAGAGCAGUUUCUUUGGAAUGAUGAGAACAGAAGCUGGAUUCUAAGGGGUUGAGAGAGUGAGAGGAGAGGUUGUGGAGGCACCUAUGGUAGAGAAUCUUUUCAGGUUUAGUCAUAAAAGGCAAAAGAGAUGUAGAUGAACGUUUUCAAGGAUGGACGUGCUAAGUCCUGGCAGGGAAAGGUUGGUGAGGAAGAUAGUUUCAGGCUCCCUGAGAAUCAGCGGGAGUAAGCAAGAGUGAAAGAUGCAAAUAUAGAAGAAUAGGCACGAGUUCCAAUAAUCAGUUGAUAGGCACAGAGGGGAAAUGAGGGAUCUGCCACAAGUUCAACUUUUAUUGAGAAGCCAUGCCAAUAUAUAGAGAAAAGUUUUCUCUAUCAACUAAAGGGAACAUGACCACAUCAUUGGCCAAUCAUAAGCUCUUCUAUACUACAUCAUUCUUAGAGGUGUAACUUUCUCACAGAAAAUUGUUUGUGAAAAGAAUUUAACCAAAACAUUUCUAAGACAUUUUACUCAAACCCAAACAACUAAGGAAUAUUGACAAUAACUUGAGGGUAUACAGGAAUUAGGGGAAAAGAGAGUUUAGGUCAUUUGGUCACAACAUUACAGAAUCUUCUUUGGUCAGCAAAAUAAUGAACUGCUCAAGGAUUAUCAUGAUGGAGGCUUUCAGGAGAGGUCUACAUUUUAUCCAGUAAAUAAACACAGUAAAUAAAAAGUUGUGAAAACAAGUACAUAUUUGUGUGUUUAUACAUCAACGUUUUCAUGCAUAUAUGGAAGGAGCUCAAUGGUGUGACCACCUUGACAUUUCCAGGGUAGAAUAUUGAAGCCAUAACUAAAGAAUUCUAGAUUAAACAUUAUAUAAAUAUGUGUGUGUGUGUUGCUUUCAUAUUAAAAGAUAAUUUUGGCAGAGAAUUGUUCAAGUUCAUAUAAGGAGAAAACAUCCAACAAAAAGCUAUGGGAGAGUGGGGCAUCUAGGUGGCUCAGUGGAGAGAGAUCCAAGCCUGAAGACAGGAGGUCCUGUGUUCAAAUAUGACCUCAGAUUCUUCCUAGCUGUGUGACCCUGGGCAAGUCAGUCAACCCCAACGCUGCUCUUCUGCCUUGGAACUGAUACUUAGUAUUGUUUCCAAGAUGAAAGGUAAAGAUUUUUUUAAAACUAUGGAAGAAAAGACUUGUUUACAUUUAUAAAUGGAACUCUUUUGUAGACUCCAAGGCAGAUUUUCAAUGUUCUCAAGGAGGCCCAUAUUUAGGCACAAUUCCUAAAAUAGGAAUUUCCAAUUUAUCUCUUUUAAAACAUAUACAGCUUGAACUGCCUGAAUACAGCGGUUGAGGGGACAUGACAGAGGAGAGACUCUAAAUGAACACUCUAAUGCAAAUAUUAUCAACAUAGCAAUGGGUUCAAAUCAAGAAAACAUGUAAUGCCCAGUGGAUUUACACAUCGGCUGUGGGGGUGGGGGGGAGGAAAAGAAAAUGAUCUAUGUCUUUAAUGAAAAAUGCUUGGAAAUGAUCAAAUAAAAUAUAUUUAAAAAAAACAUAUACAGCUUGUAAGGUCCUAAAGAGGGACUUCCAUGAGGAAAAUUUGCCACUCCAUGACAUUUAAUACAACAUGACAAACUCUUUUCAUUGUAUUCCAAAUUUUGUUUGAAAAAAUCAAGACAAUGAUUUUCAACAAAUCAAACAUGGCAUCCUCCGUUCUAGACAUUUGAUGGCAUCCUUAAAGACACAUGGCAUGCUAAAAUACAUUGGGGCUCUUGAAGUUCUACUGUGAUGCUCUUUGCAGCCCUCGUAUUAAUGCUUUCCAUUGCCUAAUCAGUCCAGUCCUCUUAAAGAAAGAAUCAGCCUCUCUUCAUUUUGUCUAGCCUCCCCAGGGGCUGGACUCCAUGACUGCAGCAAGUAUACAUACAGGAGCACAAUUUUCCAUAUGUACAAAACAGGAGUCUGGUCAGCCCUUGGGGGUUUGUUUUGCAUUGGCCACACUGAGAUUGGCAUAAAGCUUAAUUGAAACAAGAUUUUGCUUUAGCAGUACAAGGAAAGGCUUCAGCCAGACUUCAUUCAAGAUAAACCAAGUACUAACGUGGGCAGCAAAGUUAGGCCGUGUAAUAGGAGGGAAAAAGAAACCUCCAGGGGUCACAACUAGCUUGGUUUUCGUUGGACAGCUCUUCUCCGGAACCAUCACUGCCCACUUCACUUCAGAAAUGCAGCCUGCCUCAAAGCUUUGUCCAUGUGGAAGAUGCCCUUCAGACACAUUCAUUGCUAUCAUAAGAUUCGAAUGCCACGCAAAAUAAAUGAAAGAAUACCAAAGCAUACAAGUAAUACAACUUUGGAAGGUAUUUCUUUUUAAGCAUUCAUAUAAACACAAUUUAUAGUACUUUUUCCUUUUUCUUUUCUUAAAUAUAUUCACAAAGCUGUGUAUGCCUCAAAAGAUUUCCUCUGUCCUACCUCCACGGCGUAAUCUGUGGUUUCCUGUUUGCCAGUUUAUAGUAAGGUCCUGCAAUUCCAAGAGGGAAAAGUGUAUCGUCAUGGAUUCUCAGAUGAUCCAAGCUACUGCACAAUCACUAGAGCACCAGGCUGGAUGCCAUGGAGUUGAAUGUAGUCAAAUAUAGAGCAGGCCCAGGCAGUGACACAGGAAAAUACCAGGCUAUCCCAUCAAACGAUAUGGUGAGGUGCCCAUCCAAUAAUUCAGAAAUCGGUUCACAAGUUUUUAUUGCAGGCAGCAUAUUAAUUUGUAAUUUGGUCCACCUAAUUAUUUUGGAUUGAAACUCAGAAACUGAAUAGGACUCAGAAUUUUGCAUUGCAAUUUGAGUGGCCAUUGCAAACCUCCAGUUUAAGUCAAGUAUUACUUUAGCCCUAAAGCAAUCUUUUCUUUUUUUUUUUAACCCUUACCUUCCGGCUUAGAAUCAAUACUCUGUAUUGGUUCCAAGGCAGAAGAGCAGUGAGGGCUAGGCAGUGGAGGUCAAGUGACUCGCCCAGGGUCACACAUCUAGGAAGUGUCUGAGGGCACAUUUGAACCUAAGACCUCCCAUCUCCAGGUCUGGUGCUCUAUCCACUGAGCCACCUACCUGUACCAGCCAUAAAGUAAUUUUCAACAAUGUACUACUGGGCAAAAGCUAGAAGCCCUCCAACUUGAUCUAAUACAUUCUUCCUCAUCAAAUAUUACAUUCCUUGCACAUAUUUUAACUCAGUAACAUUAGUAGAGAAAUAGGUCAUUGGAUGUGAAGUUCUAAAAUAUACCCAUUGGGUAUACACACAGUAUUGGUAAAUGUGUCUAGAAUUAUUUUGAUUCCACUAUCACAAAUCCAUAUAAGGUCAUAUUUUGCCAUUUUAUAUCCUGGCAUUAAAUUCUUAAUUUUGGGAUUAAUCCCAACCUCCUUGCUACCUCAAAGCAGCCUAGCAUUCCCAUUUGAGUAUUUGCCAAGAAGCUUUUCUGAUCAUCAGGGUCAUGUACAAAAGGAGUACUUCAUAUCUGGGCCAAUAGAAUUGAAAGAAUAUUUCUCAGUUGUUAAUUGUUUACAGCUUUCAAAAGUUUCUGAAGUAUAAGAAUAAGGACUCAAGGGGGCAGCUGGGUAGCUCAGUGGAUUGAGAGCCAGGCCCAGAGAUGGGAGGUUCUGGGUUCAAAUCUGACCUCAGACACUUCCUGUCUGUGUGACCUUGGGCAAGUCACUUGACCCCCAUUGCCGAUCCCUCACCACUCUUCUGCCUUGGAACCAAUACACAGUAUUGAUUCCAAGACAGAAGGUGAGGGCUUAAAAAAAAAAGAAUAAGGGCUUAAUAAGGCUCAUCAUUUCUAAUCUUUCUUCUACUGGUCAGAUAUAAUUUUUCACAGACCAAGCUGAAGUUCCAAAUUGAGGCCACAAAAGAUUAUUCUCACUGUCAAUUCUGUUCCUGCCAAAACUAAACAAUAUUUAAUAGGGAUUCUCCUAUCAUAAACCACAGAACAGGAAGAUUUAUUCCAAGCUUGCAAUUUUAAUCCCAAUGGGCUCUUCCAAAAGAUAUAGGCUUAUUCUCUCCUACUCUAAUAGGCCUUUUUUAUGGUGGCCUUCUGCUGUCUCUCCUCUGUUGCAGAUUGUUUCUGUCUCAUGUCUUUUUUCCCCUAGGGUUUCAAUUAUCAGCAAAAGUUAGAAUGUCUAUCCUAUCUGUGAAGAUUGGAUUUAGCUAUCUCCUGAUUAUAACAAUGAAGGUACUUAGCUCUUCCUUUAUUGGUAAAACUGAAUUGUAAUCCACAAUCUAUUUUUAGAUUUUAAUCCCCAAAAGGUGGUAACUCAGUAUUUUAAGUAGAUCUACCCAUUUUAACUAUAAAAAGGUGUUAACUAACUACAAAAGGUAUAACUAACCACAAAAAGGUAUGAACAUCCAUUUCAUGCAUUGAGUGGGAGGUCUGUGACCCACGUGUGAAAGAGUGGGCAGUCCUGGAGAGAAGCGUCUGCUGUGAUUGGUAGAUGUGAAAUUUAGGGGAUGUGACACAAGAGAAAAAGGUCUUUAAAUAGAGGAAACAAAGACUGAAGAGACAAUCAGUCACCCAGCCUUGGAGUGAAGGAUCAGUGACUCGGAGCUGGAGGGAAGACAGACACUUGAGGAGAGACUGGAAGACAGACACUUGGACUUGGCUGUAGAACUGGACCCCUGGACGAGCUCAUGCAGGAGACCUCAGACUGCUUUUCUUUUAGAUGGUCAUCAUUGGUGAGUGAAAGGCUGACUUAGUGACCCUGCCUUUCUGGAGGUGUAAACCUCUGAGAAAGGCCCACUGUCUUGAGACUCUUUUCCCUGAUUAGGGCCUUAGAAUUUCUACCUGGCUCAGAGGAAGCCGGAGUUCUCUCUCUCUCUCUCUCUCUCUCUCUCUCUCUCUCUCUCUCUCUCUCUCUCUCUCUCUCUCUCUCAUUCCUUAAAUCUUCCUCUAUUGUAAAUAAAACUACCAUAAUUUACAUUUUACUUUAAUAAUUAAUUUUGGGAUUUAGAAAUUAAAUCCCUGGUGACCACCAAAUUAAUAGAUUUCAGUCUCAACCAUAAAAAUGUAACACACCCCUACUUAACACUAAGUAGGGGAGGUCUGCAAGCCACUUACUAAAGUGGGUGGAAGCAACUGACCACUCCUUGGGCAGUGCUAAGCAAAUUUAAAGACUGCAGUUGGUCCCCAUAAAGUGGAGGAAAGGAUAGGAAGUGACAUAAAAAGAGACUAUAAAAGCUGAUGAACUUCCUGUGUAGAAGGUCUUUGUCCUGAAUUUUCAGGUUGGAGGAUCUUGGACUGGAACUGGGCUUGGAGCUACGACUUAAGACCUGUGACUCUGGAUCUUGUACUGCUUCUGGAAACUACAACCCUCAGGUUAAAUGGCAUCAUCCUGACAUAUUCACCCCAGUCAUGUUCCAGCCUUCCAGAAGGAGGUAACCUCCAAAUUAACCUUUUUAGCAAAUGGUCAAGAGUUGAAGUCAGGUUCUAAUUUACAUACAAACCAGAACAGUUUAUGAUACAUUUUGGGAGCAGGGCUGAUUAGGAAAUUGCUAACUCUGACAAGCCACUAUUGUGUUUUCCAGAGCUUCCAGCUCACCUGAUCUCUUAGGUAGGCAAUCCUUUGAAUACAAACUACUCAGGGUCAACACCCUAGGGCUCUGGGGUUGGUAUCUCUGGGAGAAUGCACCAUGCUAGAUGAUUUCUCUGAAGAAUGACAGAACAUGGGGGUCUCUGGAGAAUCCUCUGGAGAACCUAGUACAGAAAGCAUGCAUAGACAAUGUGAACUUGGGAAAAACAAAGAACUACUAAAGUAAUCAGAGAAACCAAGUUUUUAAUCAGAAAAGAGAUAGUGUUCAAUAUUUGGCCAUUACACAGAGGUCAAGCUCCCCAAAACCACACAGAGCCAAAGGCUCUGGCAUGCUGGCAACAAUAUCUCUGAGAAGAACAUUCCACUAGAUGAUACUAUAAAGAACAAUAGAAUUUGGGGAACUGAGGAUAGGCAAACAUGAUUGAUUGACAUUUCCAUGGUUAUGUCAACAUGGAAUCUAGGAAUCCCAAACUUGUGGCCUAGUGGGGUCUGAUGAAACCCAAGUUUCAGGACUAGCUUGUAGGCUGGAGACCCCAAAUCUUAUCCUUGUUCCUUGUUCCCCUGGGAAUCCACCCUAAAGGGAAUCUCAGGCUGGCAGUUUUAGACUGAGUGGGGGACCCUCAGGUGAAUGAUAAUCAUAGUUAGGUGGGACUAAGCAGAUGCUAAGAGAUGCCCUCUUUGUCUUGGUGGUCUCCCCUAUUGUAUGAGAGACCCUUUCCCAAGAAGACCCACACCUGGGCAGGAACCAUUCUUUGGUAUCCAUUGUAAGCAGUCUAGCCUCUAGCUGUGAUUCCUUUCCCAGACUUGAUUGUAUCCUGUCAGUGUAGUUUGAACACUCCCAUUUCCUUUGUAGCUAUAGUGAUGGCAAUCAUCUUUCCCUGCCCCUGGAUUUCCCCCAAAUGGUAUAGAGGAUCCCCAAAUUCUUUUGUUCCUUGGAAUUGUCCAAUUGAAGUGGGGUGCUUCAUAAAACGAAUCUGGACACCCCAAAAUUCAAUUAUUGGAACCGUUAUUUAUUGAUUGAUAAAGAAUAAAGAAUCUACCAGCUGGGACAGACUUCCCUAGUGGAAGCUGCCUCAGGUGGACACUACAGGACAGCUUAUAUAGGUGAUGUGAUUUUUAAAUCUACAUUUUGCUUGGUCUAGCACCCAAAAUUGUGCACACCCACACUACAUGGGUAUGUGCUAGUUGAUGACAAAUCAGAAAUAACUGACUGCCCACCUGGGCUGUCCUAAGUCAAGCUUGAACCACCAUUGGCACUUGUGAGGCACAGGUAGUGAGGUAGAGAACAGCCUCUGGAGAUCGCUCACUUCCUGUGGACAGGGCUAGGCGGCAGUUCAUGCUAGGAGCUCGAGCAGGGAGGAGGCCCACAGGCAGCUUUCCUUCAGAUCGGUCACAUGAGUGAAAGGACUGAUUCCCUUCUCUAUCUUGGCCUUCCAAGGCCUAAACUCCCUCUGGUUCUGCCAGAAGGUAGAGUUAACCUUUUUCCUUUUCCCCUUCUUUCCUUCUCUCCCUCUCCUUCUUUCUUACUCCCAUUGUAAUUAAACCACAAUAAAACUCCAUACUGACUUGAAUGUUCAUUUAGGAAUUUCAUAAGUGAAUUCCUUGGUGACCUUACAUUAAUAUUAUAUCAAUCUUUAAAAGUGAUUUCCGGGCAGCUGGGUGGCUCAGUGGAUUAAGAGCCAGUCCUAGAGAUGGGAGGUCCUAGGUUCAAAUCUGGCCUCAGACACUUCCCAGCUGGGUGACCCUGGGCAAGUCACUUGACCCCCAUUGCCUAACCCUUACCACUCUUCUGCCUUGGAGGCAAUACACAGUAUUGACUCCAAGACAGAAGGUAAGGGUUUAAAAAAAAAGUGAUUUCACUAUCAUAGUGACAAGACACAAGUUAUUUUCUUUCGCAUACAGGCUCUUAUGUGGAAGUCCCAACCAUUAUCACAAACACGGGUAGGUCAGAGACAGUACUCAGGUUAUUCAGGGGCUGUUCAUUUUAUACAUGUUCUUAGUUCACUUCUCCCUAAGCCUGGAAGUGUUGUCUUGCAUUCCAUCUGGACCUCUUCCAUAUGUAAAGAUUAAGAUUUAGGGGAGAUGGAGAGACUGAGGCAUCUGAAAUUAGUUUCUCUCUGCAAGGAGUAUUAUAUUUUUUAGAGGUUUAUUAAAGGCUAAAGAUUAAGGAACAUACAAGUAAGAAACAUGUGCCUAGGCCAGAGGCCUAGACAAAAUAACCUCACAUCACGCAAGAGACGAGCCUGCUCCAAACAGAAGUCCAAAAAGAGCCAAGAGACCUUCAACAGCCUUUGAAUCCGCUUAAAUACCUUCUCGAUCUCGGCCCAGGUGAGAUUACAAGGCAUUCUGGGGAAGUGGAGCAAAGGCUCAUGGGGAUUGUAGUCCUGUACUCGAGUCUAUUUUUUACAUUCCCUCGUGUGAUCAUUUUGGAAAAAUUAAUUUUUCCCCAAAAGGAUCCUAAAAACAUAAUAAACUUAAAAGAUUACAGUAGUGUGAGGAUAAGAGAAAAAAGAAUAAAACCAAUAAUUGUUGAACACAACAUUGACAAAAAGCCGUUAGGGGGCAGUCCCCUUUGGCAUAAAAGUAUCCAUACAAAUAAAUGUUCAAUCAACCACACCCAAAGUUCACACCUUGCACAGGCCCAUCAUCACCUCCACCACUAUACCGGGCAGCAGUGCACAUAGUGCAAAACCCAGUGCAAAAUCCCCUCCCCCAGAUUGCCGCUUACCAUGCUGAUGUCUUCCAUCGAGCAGCCACAUACUCCUUUGCACGGUGCCUCGUUUUUGUUCAGUUACUCUCAGAACAAGGCGCCACGCAAAGGAUUAUGUUACUGGAAGUAGUACUGUACCUGAGCAGCGCUGCCACAUAUGGUGCUCCUCUCACUGACCACCAAUAAAAGAGGUGCCCCUUCUGGAAGUGCAGUGGGGGCCGGAUAAAUGGCCUCGGGGGGCUGGAUGGGGCCCAUGGGCCAUAGUUUGGGGACCCCUGAUUUAAGGUAUCAUUAUGUAAAAUAUGGUAACUAGUUCCAACCCAAUGGAAAUAUGCAAUUCAAAUACUGUGACCAUUUCUCAAGACUCAGUAUUUAAACUAAUUGGGAUUUGAAGUGUUUCAUCAUUUCUAUUAUAUUGGCAUGAUCCAGUCAGGGGCAUUGAAUAUUCACCCCGCAAUAUUUGUUUGUCUUUUUUAAGGGAUGUUUUAUAAUUGAAUCUAUACAAGUCUUUUGUGGAAUUUAGUUCCCAGACAAUUUAUGCAUUUUGUAGUUAUCUGGAAUGGUAUUUCUCUCCCAUUUUGUUAUUAUUAUUGUCAGCUGGGUUUUGAGGAGCCCCGAGUUUGUCUUUGUUCCUUUAGGGAAAGUCCCAAACUGACUUGUCUUAGAGUAAACAAUGGAUCCCCAAGCAUCCAUUCAGUGUCCUAGACAGGAGUGAUAGAAAUGCUCAAAUCCUCAAUCAUCCUUUUUUGUCUUAGAAGUUUCUUUCCUUGUGAUAUGAUUGGGGUAUUAAAAGAUCACUCUAUUACAAAUAUGAGUGAUAUGGAAGUAGGUGUUGAACAAUGAUACAUGGAUAUAUGAAUAAACCCAGGGGAAUUGCUCAUUGGCUACAGGAGGGUGGAGGCAAGAGGGGUGGGAAAUCUCAUGAAUCAUGUAGACAUGGAACAAUAUUCUAAAUAAAUAAUUUUUUAAAUUGUCACAGAGAAAUCCAUAUCUAUCCUUCCAUGGGAAGACUCCUCAGUAGUGCGGAGGGAUUUCCAGGAAUACAGUAUGGAGUUAUGUAAAGCUUCCAAGGACCUGCAUAACCUGUUCUUUCAGUCUUUAUCCACAGACCCAGUCACACAUCUGACUCUGAUGAACCCCACAGAUUAGGUCUGUUUGGAAGGAGCAUCUCCUUUUUUUUUUUUAAACACUUACCUUCUGUCUUGGAGUCAGUACUGUGUAUUGGCUCCAAGGCAGAAGAGUGGUAAGGGCUAGGCAAUGGGGGUCAAGUGACUUGCCCAGGGUCACCCAGCUGGGAAGUGUCUGAGGCCAGAUUUGAACCUAGGACCUCCCAUCUCUAGGCCUGGUUCUCAAUCCACUGAGCUACCCAGCUGCCCCCAGGAGCAUCUUCUUAAAGACCCCCUUGAACCUUGAUGGAAAUUACUACUGGGACUGAAGCUAAAUUCUCUGGAGUUGAUUUCCGGAUCCACUUAACACAUCUAAAGAAGACAACUGAGUCUACUUGGAUAGCACACCCUAAAAGGAAUCCCUGGGUUCACCUGAGCCCAGAAGAAGACAACUUCAAAGGAAGAGUUUCAAAGGACUCUCAAGGACCAGAAGAAGAUGAAAGCUGUUGUAGACAACUGCCCCAAGACUCCGGAUGAAGGCUGAGUAUAUACUCUGCCACUGCCCUUUAUUCUUGUUCCUAUUCUCCUUGUUCCCUUAGCUUUACUUUUUGCAUCGACUUUUGCAUCCUUGCUAUUCAGUAUGACUCUGAACCCUACUUUUGAAUCAUUGUCACUUUGGGUUUUGUCCUAUCUAUUGCCUCCACAACUCAGGGGUACUGAGCUCAAGGUCACCUUCCUCCUCCUGAUGGUGACCUCUCCUGACCCAUUCCAUGUGGAGAGUGGCCAAAUCAGUCACCAGCCUUCUCAGUUUGACUGACUACUAGCUAUGUGGAAGCCAUAAGGAUGCCAUCUUUUCUUACCCUGUCCCUGCAAAACUUGGGGCACUUUAUAGCUUAAGGGAGAAAUGGUAACCCAGAGACCGAAGGUCAUUACCAGUGAUGGUCCUGGUGGGGCCUUUGUUGAGCCCCGAUAUUAGUUACACUCCUUCAGACUGGAGUGGGAUUUUUCCCUCAAUUCUAACCUUUUCUCCUCCCUUAGCAAUAUUAAGGUUACAUUCUCCUCCAACCAAAUAGCCUAGUGCUUGCGAAUGUCCAAUUUUCUAACACCACUGCCUUUUUUCUUUGCUUUUUUGCAAAUGAAUCAGUGCCAGAAAUCAUGACCAUAGUGGUAAAGGAACUUGUGGGUACCGAGUGUAACCAUAGCUUUUGGGCAUGUGCCCAGCCAUUCAUCCCCAUUGAAGGAGGGGGCAGUAAUGAUUGGAAGGUUUCCCUAGGACAUGCCACCCUCCUUGGCACUAAUGUAAUCCAUGGGGAAGAUAGCUGGAGAUUUUGUCAAGGGCAGCUCCAGAAAAAGUGCAAAGAUAGUUUUUAUUUUAUCAACACCUCCUUUGCCUCUCAUGACUCAGUACAGGGAGGUAAUCAGUUGGCAUAGAAUUUACAUAGGAGAUACCUGUGGCAUGGAGCAUCAGGCAAAAAUCCUUAUUUGAAUGUGUUUGUGGGCACCUCCCUUCUAAGAGUCUGCAGACACUCCAGAAGAAUGAGGAAUCCAUUCAAUAUUCCCUUUCAGGUUCUGUCUUUUUCUCAGUAUCCCUACCUGAGAGAUUUUUCUUUCAUUGUGGCAAGGGAUUCUAUCUGGCCCUUCCACCUAAAUGGACUAGACUAUGCCCUAAAGUGGGAGUACUGCCUGACCUCUCUUACUCUAAGGAACCUUUCAUUUUCCUUUGCCCACUAAGACCUCAGUGAUAGCCUCUCCUUAAAAACUCCCAGAGCAGUCUUCUUCUCAGUCCCGGUAGACUCAGGUAUGUGGGCUGGCAAGGAACUGGGGAUUGAGGGAUUUCUGACUGCUCAGAAUGCCUCUCACAAUUUGUCUGCAGAGUUUGACAUGUGUAGAAAACACAGCAAAUUGUGUCAGCAUGAAAUCUAGAAGCCCCCAAACUUGUAGCCUAGUAAGAUCUGAUGAACCCCAAGUUUUAGGAGUUAGAUUGUAAGUUAGAGACCCCAAAGCUUGUACUUGUUCCCUGCUCCCAUGAGAAUUCACCCUGAAGGGAAUCUCAGGCUAGCAGUUUCAGACUGAAUAAUGGACCCCAAGGCAAAAGACAAGUCAGGUGGAGCUAAGCCCAAGCUAAGUGAUUCUUCUUGUCUUCAGAAGCCUCUCCGACUGUAUCACAUCCUCCCUUUUGAGGAUUGAACUCAGGGCCUUCAACUUAUGAGACUGAUGGACUGCCUACUGCACUAAAGUCACUUAGCUUGGGCUUAGCUCCACCUGACUUGUCUUUGCCUUGGGGUCCAUUAUUCAGUCUGAAACUGCUAGCCUGAGAUUCCCUUCAGGGUGGAUUCUCAUGGGAACAGGGAACAAGUACAAGCUUAGGGUCUCCAACUUACAAGCUAGUUCUAAAACUUGGGGUUCACCGAUCUUACUAGGCUACAAGUUUGAGGGCUUCUAGAUUCCACAUUGACACACACAGAUUCCAUGUUGACAAUGGCUUCAAGGAAGUAAAAGACCAACUUUCUUCUCUGGUGCAUAUGGUGUCACAGAAUUGAAGAGCUCUGGAUGCCAUGCUUACUGUGCAAAGGGGAAUUUGUGCAAAGCCUGCUGUUUCUAUGUCAACAUCUCUGGUCACUUUCAAGAAAUGAUCACUCAGGAUCGGGCUGACAGACUUAAGAUUCAGGCAUCUUCCCCCUGUCCUUGGAGUGACAUUUUUAGUCUCCUUCCUGGUAAUCUGGGAGGAAUUCUGAAGACUGUUUUUUUUGGCACAGUUUUCAUGUCAGCCCUGGUCUUUUGAUCUUCCUUGCUGCAAAAUGUGCGUGUGCUUGCUAAAUGCUUAUCUUUGCUGUAGUCUAUAAGAUCAUGUUCCAAACCACAGUGCUACCUUGGUCUGCAGGGGACAGAUCAUCUGACCCUUUGAUCAACAGGAAGGGAUAUAAAAACUAAAUGACCAAUGAUUCUACUAAUCGCCUGAAUCUACUUGAGCUUCCAUUUUUUCCAGAGAUUUCUGACACUUUGGAAUAAAGUUAAUUCUUGGAAUAAUAACUUGCCCUGCCUUGAUUAUAACUGGACCUUGACUGAAAACAAUCCUAGGAACUUUUCCUUGAUAUCUCAUCAGGAAAGGCUCCAGACAUUUUCAGAGAAGUCAACUGUUAUCAUUUUAUCUCCUUGAAACCCCAAAAGUCACUCCAAGGACUUAUUGUCAAGAAUUUACUGUUACACUCUGUCCCUCAAGCAAUAAUCUUGUUUUUUUUUUCCUUUUUCUCUCUUUCAUCUUUCAAACAAUAAAAACUGGCUAAUUUUUGUAUCUAAUCUAAUCUAAUUCUCUUCUUAGGAGAGGGGUUCCCACAUGCAGGCUCAUUCCUGUGAGAAUACAUUAAAAUGCCCUUUGCUUCUUCCUCAGUUGAUUUUAUAUGUAAUAGGAGAAAACCCCAAAUAUUAUUAUUUUUAAAAUUAUGGGUUAUCUUUAAGACAAUCAAGAACCAUAUCCCCAGUCUUUUGGGAGGAUUCCUUAUCACCCGAUUGGACCCUCUGAGAGGUAUCCUCUGGUCUCUUAUUUGAUGUACUAUAAACAUUCUGGCCUUUGUAAUAGGUGUUAUAUGAAUAGCUAAGUUAUUGUUGUUUGUGUAUAAGCUCUAUAUCUUUUAUCAUGUUUCUCUGAAAAUUUCUGUUAGCUUGCCACUAGUACUAAGGCUUGCCUGAGGAUCAAAGGAGUCUCCAAGGAGCUACAAUGACAGAAAAGGGAUGAAUGUUAACUGUGGUUAUUUAAAAUAUAUAUGGAAUAACUGUGACAUGUAAAAUGAUAAUAACGUACAGUAUGGUUGUCAGAAAUCCCUGCUAAGUCCAGCUACAGAGGUGACCUUGAGUCAUUCCAGAACUCCUGGCAACUGAGAUUAGUUGAACAGACAGUGCCCAACCAGACAGUGGAACUUGUGGUGCUGAUAUACAAAGAGAUCCUCUAAUCCUUUUUCCUGCUUGGACAUUGUGUUCCCUCGUUUCCUGUUCACCACUUACCUCCUUUUCAUGCUUGAACAUCCUUCGUGUUCAGGAGCUCCUCGGGUGGUUGUAAACUUUUAAAAAGCCCCCUCAGUAGGUAGUCUGAGAAGGUUUCACCCCACAUGCCUGUUUAACUUUCUUCUCUCUCCUCUUAAGACACAUUUGUCUCAAAAAUAUUUCUAAAGUUAACAUUAUCCAUGUAAUCCAUUUGAUGUGCUAGUAAAUGUUUUAACAGCUAGCUGUUGGAAAAAAAUGUUUAAUCUGUGUAAUAAGGGUGAGGCCCUCAUAUGAAGAAGCCCACCUAGGAGGAGGCCCAUGUAUCGUGAGGCCAGUUGUUGUGUUUUGAAGGGAGGCAGAAGAGAAAAUUCUAGCCUCUUUUCUGACUCUCCUUCUCCUUCACUCCUACCACAAAGGCAAGCAGAAGGUAGCCAGAGGCUGCUGUCCUCUCCUCAGAGACUGGAGGCACUGGGCUAAAAGAAAAUCAGUUGCUCCCCUUAUAAAUUGUUCAACUCUGGGAUGAUUGGGUUCCAUCUAAUUUCUGAUUCCUUUGUCAUUUCUGAGAGGAAGGGGAACUCCAAGCUCCAUAUCCAAGGCUUAAUCCCUUUUCCACUGAAUCCUGGCUGCACAAUGGACAAAGAGAGACCAGCAAGGAAACUCAAUAUCCAAAUCAUAACAAAACAGAAGUCAGAGAAGGCAUGCAUAGGGAAAUAUACAAUGGACAGUGGAGUGAAUGAGCUCUCUCAUUUGGAACACAAUAAAUCAGUCCAGUUAAAUGAGAGGAUUCUGGGUCUAGUUCAGGAGAAAGAACCUGAAGUUUCAAGAGUAUCGAGCUGAGAAAAGGGAGAAGAUGGAGGCUGCCCAGUUUUUUUUAAAGUCACCAGCACUCUGAGGUAGGGUUGGUGGUCUUCCAUCUUUUCUCUCCAAGAUGAAACCUAGAAGUACUUAAAGUGGCUCCAUUUCCAACUAGAUGAGUUCCAAAAAGAAUGGUCCUUGAAGAUUCCAGAGUGAGUCUGACAGCUGCUCUGAUGCAACUGGCCCAGCCCUCCAGCGGGACGUGGCAUUCACUAUCUUCCCAAGUGUCUUAUCCCACUGGCCCAGAGUUGAAUUGAGCGACAGAAAGAUAUGAAAACCUGAGGAAGAAGCAAAGGGCAUAUUCAUGUGGCCUUCUCAGCAAAGCAAGCAUGUAUGCGAGAAUCCCGCCAAAGGAGAUUCAGAAAUUGGCCAGCUUUUAUUGUUUGAUUGAUGAGGAAUUGGAAAAAAGAAAAGAACCAGCGGAUUGCUUGAACAGGUGGAUGGGCAAUUCCUGACACUAACUCCGUGGAGUGACUUUUGGGGUCUCCAGUAGACAGGCUGAUAAUAGGUACUUUACCUGGGAAUCCCCGAGUCCUAGUCCGGAAAUUGUUAGGGUGGGGUUCAAGGGGUAGGUCCCAGGUGCUCGAUAGAGAAAUGGAGGGAUGACUGUAGUCAGUAUUCCUCUCACUUUUUCCAUCUCCAUUCUAAUGGGAUUUGGGGCCGGUCUGUAAGGUUAGUUAACAGCCCCAUCUAGGCCAUAUAUAACUACAGAUCAUCUAGAACAUCCACAUUAAAUCUUGCAAAGAAACAACCUAGUAAACCCAGCUUUUGGGAGCUUUUGGAGCACCCACGAGGCGUGGAGAGACACAAAUGCCUUCAGACCAGAAAGAAGAUACGAAGAAUUUCCCUUUUUACCCACCGUCCCAGGGUUUUUAAGCUGCCUGGGCCUGAAGUACUUUCUCUAUUCCGGAGUGUAGGAUCCCUGGGAACCUGUUUUGCUAGCGUUAUCUCUCUGGCCAGGCCCAGUGUAAGCCCAAGAUGAAAUCAUGGCGGCCUCUUCCCUUGCACUCGGAAGCCUUAGGCAGGAAUUGUAGGUGUUCAGAACAGAUUCCUGCCCUUGGGCGGCUGGAAAGGGAAAAAAUGCAUCACGAUGCCACAUAUAAGUAAGACGGGGUACAGGGGAUUAAUAACGUGUCAGUCAGAAGGAAGGAAGGGCAGGCUGCCGCUUUCUGGGGUGCAGUCCCGACCCCACCUCGGAAGGGGUCCGAGGAAGAGGAGGGAGCCUCGGAGGCGGCUGACACCCACACACAGACACGGGAUAUUGGGUGGGGUGGGGCCGGGGAGGGGGGAGUCUGGACCUCCAGCUGGAAGCACCCCUCCCCUUCCUAAACAGAGGAAACUGGAAGGGAAAGGGUGAGAGCCUGGUGACGUCACACCGGUCUGUCAGGGUACGCUGGAGGAAGGCAUGGGGUUAACCUACUCUGGGAGGGGGCGAUGAGCCUGAGGGACUAAAACCCCAGGGACCCCCUUCCCCCACCACCGCAGACAGGAGGAGGCGGCUUGUUUAUGCGGACAUUUCGGACCAAUGGAGCCCCGGAAACGAAAACUCGGUGACCUCAGCCAGAAACCGGAAGUCAGAUCUCGGGAACGCGGAGGAAGAGGGAGGAUUAGAGUUAGGAAAGACAGACAGACCCACAGAUGGAGCUCCGAGCUCCCCCAUUCCAUAAACCGAGCCUCUGCAAAGGAGGGCCAAGAAGCGGGGAGGAGUUUGUGGAGGAGAUGGAGUAGCAUAGGGAGGAGCGCCCUCUGAAAACAGGAAGGAGGAGGCAGACAGAGCCCCUCCCUCCCCCGCCCUGCCCUAACAUGGGGCCUUCCUGGCUAGGGGGUGUCCCCUUCUCUUUUUCGGCUUCUUUCGAGCUCUUAUCUCCCCACCCCCGUGGGCUUCGGGGAAGCUCGGCCUCUCCUGGGUAGUGAGGAAACUUUUCCUCUGUCUCUGUCUCCUCAGGGAGCUCCUCCCCCUUCUCCAUUUCCUUUCCCCCUUACGACCCUGGGGAGGUCUGCCUAACCACCCCUAGGGGUGGCCGCCCGAAGGGGCUGAAGCCCUGUCCUGGGCUGAAGGUGGGGCCUAGGGAAAGGAGGAGGGAGAUAGAGGAAGGAAAUGGUGGGUGGGCGGCGCGGGGAGAGGCAGAUAGACAAGCGCGCGCGCGCGUGCACACGAGCAGACAGAAAAACCUCAGAAAUCAAUGUAAAAAGGUCAGGCCCAUCUGACUGACGCAGUGAAAAAGGGUUCAAACCUGGAAACAAUGACGUCAUCCCCAAGAAUUGAGCUGUGUGAUGUGGUAAAUCAGAGAUCUUUUGUUUAAACAAAAUGACAAAAAUGAGACAAAAUAUACCAGAACUCUUGAUAUUUGAGCCAAGAAAUCUUCAGGGGGAAAUAAGUCUUUCCAAGCAGUUUCAUCAAUAACAAGAGAAAAAGGAGAGAACAUAUCCAAAAAAAAAAAAAAUCCCUGCAGGCCAUGACUCCCAAGUGAGGUGUACAGGGAGGAUGUAUGGAGGGGCAGGGCAGAGGCAGAUGAAGUGAGCUGCCCCACAGCCGAGUGACAAUUGAGAAGGAUGCCAGGUGGGGGAGAAGGAAAGAGUGUAUGCUUGUUGCUCCAUCACUAAGGUGGGCUUUGAUAUCACCGGCCAGAUCCUGAUCUAAACAGAUAUUUAGG